ACGAAGCUGGAUUCGCUAGUAAUCGCGCAUCAGCCACGGCGCGGUGAAUACGUUCCCGGGCCUUGUACACACCGCCCGUCAAGCCAUGGGAGCCGGGGGUACCUGAAGUGCGUAACCGCGAGGAUCGCCCUAGGGUAAAACUGGUGACUGGGGCUAAGUCGUAACAAGGUAUC
rnacentral:rRNA from 1 species